CCUGUCCUAUCAUCGGGAGAAUUACGCGACUGCUCACUCAUUCUCUUCGGUCAAUCCCGGAGUACUCUGCAACUGCAACCACAAGUCCACAGCCGUUGGUGGGGCACUGCAAAUUCGCGAUCUCGAGCCGGUGGCACGGACGAACCCGAUGCGAUUCGAUGCGAUGCCAGCGUCAGAGAGGUCCGCGCUAGCGGCUAGUCUUCGUCACACGGUACGAUAGCGACGGCGAAAAGCGGCCCGCGGGGACGCACAUCGGCACGGAACAAAAAGGACUAGUAGGAGCAGCUCUGUUCCGACUCCGAGCGACGCGAGACGACACAGUGCCCUGCGGCCUCUUUUCCACACCCACCCCCAACCCCGCGCGGCGGCGCUCCCACGCUGACGGACCAGGCCACUGCCUCCCCCCUCCCCGUCCUCCACCUGGAUCGCGCCCGCGAGCGUCUCCUCCGCGGAGACAUGGCCGGCGACGACGGCAACGGCAACAGCAGCGCCGUCCGCGGCGGCGGCGGCGGGAGCGGCCAGGAGGAGGUCCAGAUAGAAAUCGCAGGAUCCUCCAAACCCGCAGUUUCCUUGGCCCAUGAAGCACCCCCACAAAGCGCUCCGGUUAAGCACUGGCAAUGGUGGUUGAUGGUGGUACUGAACAUGUUCUUCCUUGUGGCUGGUCAGACGUCGGCAACACUCUUAGGGAGAUUCUACUACAAUGAAGGUGGCAAUAGCAAAUGGUUGUCCACGUUUGUCCAGACUGCUGGUUUUCCGGUGUUGUUUGUUGCCCAAUUUCUUUUCCGUCCAAAGUCACCUUCCACACAAGCAACUACCAGUGGCCCUGAAGCUUCUAUCACCAAAAUCACUCUGAUAUACAUUGCCUUGGGACUCAUCAUUGCUGCAGACGACUUGAUGUAUUCCUACGGUCUAUUGUAUCUUCCUGUCUCAACUUACUCCCUCGUUUGUGCUAGUCAGCUGGCCUUCAACGCCGUCUUCUCAUAUUUUCUCAAUGCCCAAAAGUUCACCCCUUUGAUAUUCAACUCGGUACUACUCCUUACAUUUUCCGCUUCGCUCCUUGGAGUUGAUGAGGAUUCUCCGAGCAGUAGUGAUAUCUCUCAAGGGAAUCAUGUAUUGGGUUUUGUGUUGACACUGGGAGCAUCGGCCACAUACUCACUUAUUCUGUCUCUCAUGCAAGUUACGUUUGAAAAGGUUAUUAAGAGGGAGACCUUCUCAGUCGUGCUGAACAUGCAGAUUUAUACGGCAUUUGUGGCUACAUUGGCUUCUCUUGUUGGGUUGUUUGCAAGUGGUGAAUGGAAGACUUUGGAGGGAGAGAUGCACAUGUUCAGCCCAGGGAAGGUGUCCUAUGUAAUGACAGUGCUAUGGACAGCUAUAUCAUGGCAGAUAGCUUCUGUUGGAGUUGUGGGGUUGAUCUUUGUGGUUUCAUCACUCUUUUCAAAUGUGAUAAGCACUCUAGCUCUACCCAUCAUUCCUGUUUUCGCAGUGAUUUUCUUUCACGACAAAAUGGAUGGAAUAAAGAUUAUAGCUAUGCUGAUAGCCAUCUGGGGUUUUAUUUCAUACGGCUACCAGUUGUAUGUUGAUGACAAGAAGUCUAGGAAGACUUCAUCCAGUGUGGAGGAGAAUUCCUAAUGCUUUGGUGCAUUGUUUUCCAGACUUAAUUUCUUGGUACUCAAUGAGAAGGGGGGAAAAACUAAGCUGAAGUUACAACAAAGAGCACAAAGAGUGCUCCAAAGUGCUGCAUUAUCUGAAGCUCUGCACCUUAUGUGCUGCUCUGAAUACUUCUUUCACUUUGCCCGGUGGACAAUCCACUGCAACUCUUCUUCGAACUUGCGUCGACAAGCAUACUGGCUAUUCAGUCUUCAGGAUUAUUUUACUUACGUAAUGAAGAUUAUGUGCUCCUCUUAGUUGGCCAAGGUGUUUGAGGCCGAGAAGCUAAAGGUUGUUCCUAAUUCUCCUAGAGUGGCUCAUCUCCAACCACAGUAUUUUUGAGAAUCUGUUAUUCUACACGGCAAGAUGAUCCAAUCACCUUGUGCGUACAGUUUCGAUUAGCACAGUCAUGCGCUGCUUCACCAUACGCCUGUGCUUCCGUUGAAACUUCCAUGUUCACGGUUAUCCAGCGACACCUGAAAACAGCAGGAUGAGGGAGAAGUACGCGGCAGUCAUCCUUGAACUUUCCCACCCAAAAGGUUUUCGCUGUGCCCCCCUUAAAACUUAUCACCCAAGUGCUAAAAAUGGACCGGAACUCGUUGGUGUUCGUUGAAUACAAGGAAACGACUCAGAACUUUUAAAAUCUCAUAGUACUGAAAUUGCCUGUGAACUUUGACUGGCCCCAGUUUGAUUUUUUCAGCACGCAUUCUCGAAUCAUCGAGUAAAUAAGGAUGGUUUGAAGAAGAAAAAUGAUGUACAGAUUUGGUUCAGGUCAUUUGCUCUCUUGCAAAAUCUUCAGCAGUAGCAUGCAAGGAUCACAACACUAGGGCCAUCUCAAUGUUUUUUUUGUCUGAAGUGAAAGAGGGACUGCUGUUCAGAGACAUGCAUAUCUUCCCUGCAUUAUUUUGAAGCAAAGGAUGAUCCGAGACCGACGCCAAAGCUGCCUUUAGGAAGUUGCUGCUGUGUAAUCGGAGGAACCAUACAUCCAUAGCAGGUGAUAUACAUUGCUUUAUUGUGCGGUGCAUACCUACAGUGCCAAUCAUAUGUUUCUAUUAUGAAGGUGAAGAUAUCUAAUGCCAAAUCAUUGGGGGUGGCGAGGCUUAACUGCAGCAUGUAGUUGCCCGCCACAUCCUAGAAGAUGCAACGUACAUUGUUUAAUUAUCGUAUAAAGUAUAGCAGCUCAUGGCAACACCACAUUAGGUUUGUUGAAAAAGCGACGCAUUAGCUGUAAUCAUGUUGCCCUUUCCACAUAACAUCCUUCUAAAAACAUAAAAGCGAUUUAUUUUUAAGAAACCGUUUGGUGUGGAUAGAGAAAAAUAAGAGAGAUACUAGUAGCUGUUUUAGUACGUGAACCAGCUUACAUGAUUGUUGGUUAGUUUAUUAUGGCUAUUGAUUAUCCCUGUCUGUCUGAUGGCCAAAUCAUUGUUUCCACCCUGUCUAGAGCAUGUGCAGCAAUUGCCGCCUUAAUGCUGCAUGAGUGGUCUGGUUAGACAAAUAUUCCCCUCUGGAGUUUGGUUAGGCCACAUAAUUCUUCUGGCGUGAUUGUUAUAUACUUGCCACAUGAUGGGCACCCAACAAAAUUACUUCAAGCCAAGCCAAGGUCACCUGCUCUCAGAAUCUGCUUAGCGCACUGCUGAAGAGCGUGUGCUGGCAAGGAUUUUUUCUCCAUAAAGCUAUUGGUAUGUUUGCCUGUGUUGUGAUACAUGCAUGCAUGUUCCUGUUUGUCUAUGAUUGGGCUGUGUUUAGGUGACGAGCCGUUGGAGGAAAAGGCAAAGAAGUGAUUUGGUUUGCUGAAAUGCCGUGCAAAUGAUUUUGGCAGAAAGAUUGCAUGUGGGCCUCAUGUUACCCUCUUUUAGUAAU